GACGAACGCUGGCGGCGUGCUUAACACAUGCAAGUCGAACGGAAAGGCCCUGCUUUUGUGGGGUACUCGAGUGGCGAACGGGUGAGUAACACGUGAGUAACCUGCCCUUGACUUUGGGAUAACUUCAGGAAACUGGGGCUAAUACCGGAUAGGAGCUCCUGCUGCAUGGUGGGGGUUGGAAAGUUUCGGCGGUUGGGGAUGGACUCGCGGCUUAUCAGCUUGUUGGUGGGGUAGUGGCUUACCAAGGCUUUGACGGGUAGCCGGCCUGAGAGGGUGACCGGCCACAUUGGGACGGAGAUACGGCCCAGACUCCUACGGGAGGCAGCAGUGGGGAAUAUUGCACAAUGGGCGGAAGCCUGAUGCAGCAACGCCGCGUGCGGGAUGACGGCCUUCGGGUUGUAAACCGCUUUCGCCUGUGACGAAGCGUGAGUGACGGUAAUGGGUAAAGAAGCACCGGCUAACUACGUG
rnacentral:rRNA from 1 species